rnacentral:rRNA from 1 species
GGCGAACGCUGGCGGCAGGCUUAACACAUGCAAGUCGAACGCCCCGCAAGGGGAGUGGCAGACGGGUGAGUGACACGUGGGAACGUACCCUUUGGUUCGGAAUAACUUGGGGAAACUCAAGCUAAUACCGGAUAAGCCCUUAUGGGGAAAGGUUUACUGCCGAAGGAUCGGCCCGCGUCUGAUUAGCUAGUUGGUGAGGUAAUGGCUCACCAAGGCGACGAUCAGUAGCUGGUCUGAGAGGAUGAUCAGCCACACUGGGACUGAGACACGGCCCAGACUCCUACGGGAGGCAGCAGUGGGGAAUAUUGGACAAUGGGGGCAACCCUGAUCCAGCCAUGCCGCGUGAGUGAUGAAGGCCUUAGGGUUGUAAAGCUCUUUUACCCUGGACGAUAAUGACUGUACCGGGAGAAUAAGCCCCGGCUAACUUCGUGCCAGCAGCCGCGGUAA